GUUAUGGAGAUGAAUUCUCUCUCUCUCUCUCUCUCUCUCUCUCUCUCUCUGUGUGUGUGUGUGUGUGAGUGAGUGAGAGAGAGAGAGAGAGAGAGAACUUGAACCUUUUG